CAGGCCGUGAUCCGGCAGACGAGGUGUGGGGAUUAAAGGGGGCCAUCGCGGAAAGGGCGCUUGUCUUCGUCCCCCUCCUCCCGAGGACAUAUUAUUUGGAUAAUGGAAGAGUUAAAGGGCCCUGAGGGAGAUGGAGAAAGACAGGCACGACAAGCUCUGUUUGAAGGUACCCAGCUGUAAACAUCAUGAAGGAUGUGACGGGAGGCCUGCUCUGCUCCUUUAGGAGUCGUAUAUACAUUAAUCACUGAAUCACCAAGCCAUGCUUAAUUGCAUGUUGUAUAUCACACAAAUCCAUGGAACGCUGGGAACUGGAUGAAGGCACUAAUUGCAGUCAGCCUGGAGAGGGGAACCGAGCCUAGGUGGGGCCCACACCCACUGCUGGUGGCCCUGGCUUUUACAGCAAGAGCGGCGGAUAUCCCACCCCCAACUCCAUCCCCUCUAAGGGAGAACGUGCCGAACCCCAUUCCUCCUUGAGAGUUUACAGAACUGUUUAAAUGAUAAAGAAAAAAAAAGCCCACAGUAUAUUUUGCUUUGACAAAAUUAUUGAUUUAAAUCCCAUACAAUAGCACAAUACUAUUUAAAGGUCAAGCCAAGAAAAAUGAGUUUACACCCGACCAGAGCCAAGCUUAUCUGUCAUGAAAGUGUAAUGAUGUGUUUAUUCCUUCACUAUUGUGUGUAUAUUUUUCAGGAAGAUAUAAUAGUCUACUUGUAGGUGAAAUCUGCUCUCAAAUGGGAAUUUCAGGAGAUAUUUACAUUUCAGAUCGUAAGGGCUGUUAUCUUGGGCCUUGAUACCCAUUUCCUGGUAUUUAAUGGCCCCUGUUUAUUUACUCUGCCCGAGAAUCACUGUUCUCCUUCCUCAGGCCAAAAAUUAUUUCUCAAGGCCUACAAAUCAUUGCCUUUUCCUCUCUCUCCCUUUCAAAAAGGUAAGGCCACAAAUUGAAUAAGGAGGGAUUUCAGAUUACUUGGAUUUCUGACAUUUCUGUUUGUCCUUUUACAAGUCAACGAGAUAGCAAUAAAAUGCUCUGACUCCAUCACCUUGUAGAAAUAUCCAUCAUCAUAUGAUCUAUGUGUUUGUAUACAUAUACAUAUCCCGUUUUUCUUUUUUUUUUAAAUUGGUCAACUAAUUCAAGGCAGACCUUCCUUCCUCUGAUACCUCCUCUCCCAAAAGGGCCUUCUCACUUGCCCUCAUUUUAUACAAUAGCCUUUGGAAUAGGGGAGACUGUGGAAGCUAAGCCAAUAAGAGAUACAAAUUAUCCACACACAGUAACAUCAUAGCUGACAGCCUUACCCUAUAAGAAAGUCCAGGAAGCCCCUAGCCUGUGAUCUGGAACCUUGUGCUGGGAAGAAUCUUGGCUCGGUAUUCCUCAGAAUUCUUGCCAUUGGCUCUCCAUUAUCCACGGACCGCUUAUCUCUUCUUUAACUCAUCCAGAACCUGUGUCUCUCAUCAUCUCCCUGUAGCUGCCAACUCCCUGGGCAUAUUUCUGUAUAUUAUCAUCUCUGUGAGCAAUAGCAAGGGAUGAUGAUGGAAAACAGACACUUUUGUUGGCACAUCCAGUGAAAAGUUUGCAAAAGAAGAGGUUGAAGUCCCUAGCCAAAAUUUAAUUCAAAUUUAAAUGAGAACUGGGAGCUAACUCUAAUUGUCCAGAUUUUCUGGGUUUUCCCAUGAUAAUAGAUAACUAAGCCUUGGUUAUCCAAGAGUGGCCCAUGACUAAGGCAAAUUUUCAUUUUUCAUAAACAUUUCCAUUAUUAUAUACCUUCAUUCCUAUGUCAGAAUAUGUUGUAUGCUCAUCAUUUCUGGGGAAUAAAAAUUGACAUCAUUUUGGUCUGUGUUUCUGAAAUAAGAUAUUUAUAUGUUUAAAUUCACCUUUGUUAUUGAAUCACUGUCAUGUCUAAACUGGUUAUUAUGGGGAUUAUAUUUCCUCGGCUCCUCUUCCAUCACUCCCCAUGGAAAACCCGGAGUUGGUUGUACAUGAAUCUUCUGUCAUUCUAUUAGUGACAUUUCUCCUGCUCCUUUCUCUAGCCUCCCAAAUUCAAAUACAUUACUAACUCAACCUGCUCUUCUCCAAUAGAUUACUAGGAUCUUCAACUCCACUGACAUCAUCCACUUUCCUGCAAUCCUAUCCAAAACACACACACACACACACACACACACACACACUCUUUGAAUGUUUAAUUUUUAUCUUCUUGAUCAAAUUUUUUUUAUUUGAGUCUACUAUUUAAUCUCUUCAGCAGACAACAUCCAUGUAUAAAGGUAAAUAUAAUGCUUUUUAUUAAUACUUUAUUAUUAAUUUUUUAUUUUACUUAUUUUUAUUUAAAUAAAAUAUUAUUAUUUUUAUUAAUACUUUUUAUCUUCAAAACAUAUGCAUGGAUAAUUUUUCAACACUGACCCUUACAAAACCUUGCGUUCCAAAUUUUCCCCUCCUUCCCCCCACUCCCCCUCCCCUACAUAUCAGGUAAUCCAAUAUAUGUUACACAUGUUAAAAUAUGUUAAAUCUAAUGUAUGUAUACAUAUUUGUACAAUUAUCUUGCUGCACAAGAAAAAUCAGAUCAAAAAGGAAAAAAAUAAGAAAACAAAAUGCAAGCAAACAACAACAAAAAGAAUGAAGAUGCUAUGUUGUUUGAUCAAAUAUCUUUUGGUUUCCCUCUAUUGCAGAAAUAAACAGGACCAGAAUCUAGACUCACAUUUUUCCUACUAAGACCAUCUGAAUGUCCUAAGAUAUUAGCAACCAGAAGAAUGAAAAC